UACGAAGGGGGCUAGCGUUGUUCGGAAUUACUGGGCGUAAAGCGCACGUAGGCGGAUCAGUCAGUUAGAGGUGAAAGCCCAGGGCUCAACCCUGGAACUGCCUUUAAUACUGCUGGUCUGGAGUCCGAGAGGGGUGAGUGGAAUUCCGAGUGUAGAGGUGAAAUUCGUAGAUAUUCGGAAGAACACCAGUGGCGAAGGCGGCUCACUGGCCCGGUACUGACGCUGAGGUGCGAAAGCGUGGGGAGCAAACAGG
rnacentral:rRNA from 1 species